rnacentral:rRNA from 1 species
GCAUAUCAAUAAGCGGAGGAAAAGGAACCAACAGGGAUUGCCUUAGUAACGGCGAGUGAAGCGGCAACAGCUCAAAUUUGAAAUCUGGCUCCUUCGGGGUCCGAGUUGUAAUUUGCAGAGGAUGCUUCGAGUUAUGGUUCCUUCCGAGUUCCCUGGAACGGGACGCCAUAGAGGGUGAGAGCCCCGUCUGGUAGGAAACCAUGCUCAUGUGAAGCUCCCUCGACGAGUCGAGUAGUUUGGGAAUGCUGCUCUAAGGGGAGGUAUACUCCUUCCAAGGCUAAAUACCGGCUAGAGACCGAUAGCGCACAAGUAGAGUGAUCGAAAGAUGAAAAGUACUUUGAAAAGAGAGUCAAACAGCACGUGAAAUUGUUAAAAGGGAAGCGCUCGCUACCAGACGUGGGUUCGGUGGUUCAACCAGGUCCAUGACCUGGGGCACUCCGCCGGCCCAGGCCAGCAUCAGCUUUCCGUCGGGGGCAAAGGCGUCGGGAAUGUGGCUCUCCUUCGGGGGAGUGUUAUAGCCCGUCGCGUCAUACCCUUCGGGGGGCUGAGGUACGCGCUCCGCAAGGAUGCUGGCGUAAUGGUAGCUAGUGACCCGUCUUGAAACACGGACCAAGGAGUCAACCUUAUGUGCGAGUGCCCGGGCGUAAAACCCCAGCGCGGAAUGAAAGUGAACGUAGGUGAGAGCUUCGGCGCAUCACCGACCGAUCCUGAUGUCCUCGGACGGAUUUGAGUGAGAGCAUAUAGGGUUGGACCCGAAAGAAGAUGAACUAUGCGUGUGUAGGGUGAAGCCAGAGGAAACUCUGGUGGAGGCUCGCAGCGGUUCUGACGUGCAAAUCGAUCGUCAAACAUGCGCAUGGGGGCGAAAGACUAAUCGAAUCUUCUGGUAGCUGGUUUCCGCCGA